GCAAAGUUGGUCUUCACGCUACAUCAAAAACUAACCGAGACCAGGAUGAGGCGGAAAACAAGUUUAUUGCAAAACGAAUAAAAGAACACAAAAUGCGGGCGCUCACGGCGACGCUGGGUGGAGCUCCGGCUUGGAUUUUGCCGCUCCUUCUCUGGACAGCCUGUCUGCUUCCUCGUUGCCUUUGUAGCCCGCGU